UACGAAGGGGGCUAGCGUUGUUCGGAAUUACUGGGCGUAAAGGGCGCGUAGGCGGCUUCGUUAGUCGGGUGUGAAAUGCCUGGGCUCAACCCAGGAACUGCACUCGAAACUUCGAGGCUAGAGUGUGGGAGAGGAUAGUGGAAUUCCCAGUGUAGAGGUGAAAUUCGUAGAUAUUGGGAAGAACACCGGUGGCGAAGGCGGCUAUCUGGACCACAACUGACGCUGAGGCGCGAAAGCUAGGGGAGCGAACUGG
rnacentral:rRNA from 1 species